rnacentral:tRNA from 1 species
GGAGUUGUGGCUCAGUGGUAGAGUGCUCGCCUAGCACGUGAGAGGCCCUGGGUUUGAUCCUCAGCACCA